GAUGAAGAACGUAGCGAAAUGCGAUACUUGGUGUGAAUUGCAGAAUCCCGUGAACCAUCGAGUCUUUGAACGCAAGUUGCGCCCGAAGCCAUCAGGUUGAGGGCACGUCUGCCUGGGCGUCACAUAUCGUUGCUCGAUGCCUAUCGCAUUGCGAUAGGACUUAGGGCGAAUGAUGGCUUCCCGUGAGCGUUGUUGCCUCGCGGUUGGUUGAAAAUCGAGUCCUUGGUAGGGUGUGCCAUGAUAGAUGGUGGUCGAGUUAGCACGAUACCGAUCAUGUGCAUGCUCCCCAAAAUAUGGCCUCUGUGACCCCCACGCGUCUUUUGACGCUCCUGACGAGACCUCAGGUCAGGCGGGGCUACCCGCUGAAUUUACGCAUAUCAAUAAGCGGAGGA
rnacentral:misc_RNA from 1 species